UACGGAGGGUGCAAGCGUUAUCCGGAAUCACUGGGUUUAAGGGGUGCGUAGGCGGCUAAAUAAGUCAGAGCUGAAAGCAUGCAGCUUAACUGCGAAAUUGCCUUUGAUACUGUAUAGCUUGAAAGGAGCUGAAGUCAGCAGAAUGUGGCAUGUAGCGGUGAAAUGCAUAGAUAUGCCAUAGAAUACCAAUUGCGAAGGCAGCUGGCUGAGCUUAUUUUGACGCUGAGGCUCGUUAACGUGGGGCUCGAACAGC
rnacentral:rRNA from 1 species